rfam:TPA: Bos taurus chromosome 12, whole genome shotgun sequence.
UUCCCUGUAGCUCAGAUGGUAAAGAAUCUGUCUGUAAUGCAGAAGACCCAGUUUCGAUCUCUGGGUUGGGAAG